GCCUCUAAUGAUGUGUACAAUAAAACUUUCGUUCUCCUGAGUUUGUUAAUGCUGAAAAUAUUUGGAGACCUGAACUGAAGAGUA